rnacentral:rRNA from 1 species
ACGAAGGGGACUAGCGUUGUUCGGAAUCACUGGGCGUAAAGCGCACGUAGGCGGAUAUGUCAGUCAGGGGUGAAAUCCCGGGGCUCAACCUCGGAACUGCCUUUGAUACAGCAUAUCUCGAGUCCGAUAGAGGUGGGUGGAAUUCCUAGUGUAGAGGUGAAAUUCGUAGAUAUUAGGAAGAACACCGGUGGCGAAGGCGGGUCUCUGGGCCGAUACUGACGCUGAGGAGCGAAAGCGUGGGGAGCGAACAGGA